rnacentral:siRNA from 1 species
AACGGCGGCUAAACGGGAUGAACG